UUAUUUUAUAUAUUUUUUUUCCUAGGAGUAGGGGAUAAUGUCACUCCCAGGUGAUAUUUGCAACAUUUGUGGUUGGAGCUCAUCACCACAAUUCGUGCAUACAACUUAUUGCUGCCUCCGCUCUGGGGAAGCUGUGUGUGUUCAAUCUAGUGGAGUUCACAGGAGAACCUGUGGUGGAGGAGGUAAACAUCACCGGCCUACCGGAGAGAGUGGUUUUGUAUGCCUCAUAUGUGGUAGCGUCACCUCGAAGCCUCACCCCACUUUCACCUGCAGCAGUUGUGGGGUCACUUUGUGUGAGCACUUGACCUCUGAACAUCUACAAUCAUGUCCCCAAGGGGUGCUUCAGAGGCAGGUAAAGACAUCUCAGGGGCAGGUAGGAGAGGA